rnacentral:rRNA from 1 species
GGUUAAGCGACUAAGCGUACACGGUGGAUGCCCUGGCAGUCAGAGGCGAUGAAGGACGUGCUAAUCUGCGAAAAGCGCCGGCGAGGUGAUAUGAACCCUUGACCCGGCGAUGUCCGAAUGGGGAAACCCAGUGCAAUCCGUUGCACUAUCGUUAACUGAAUACAUAGGUUAACGAGGCGAACCGGGGGAACUGAAACAUCUAAGUACCCCGAGGAAAAGAAAUCAACCGAGAUUCCCCCAGUAGCGGCGAGCGAACGGGGAGCAGCCCGGAGUCUGAAUCAGCUUGUGUGUUAGUGGAACGGUCUGGAAAGUCCGACGGUACAGGGUGAUAGUCCCGUACACGAAAGCACACUUGCUGUGAACUCGAAGAGUAGGGCGGGACACGUGGUAUCCUGUCUGAAUAUGGGGGGACCAUCCUCCAAGGCUAAAUACUCCUGACUGACCGAUAGUGAACCAGUACCGUGAGGGAAAGGCGAAAAGAACCCCGGCGAGGGGAGUGAAAAAGAACCUGAAACCGUGUACGUACAAGCAGUGGGAGCCUCUUUAUGGGGUGACUGCGUACCUUUUGUAUAAUGGGUCAGCGACUUAUAUUCUGUAGCAAGGUUAACCGUAUAGGGGAGCCGAAGGGAAACCGAGUCUUAACUGGGCGUUAAGUUGCAGGGUAUAGACCCGAAACCCGGUGAUCUAGCCAUGGGCAGGUUGAAGGUUGGGUAACACUAACUGGAGGACCGAACCGACUAAUGUUGAAAAAUUAGCGGAUGACCUGUGGCUGGGGGUGAAAGGCCAAUCAAACCGGGAGAUAGCUGGUUCUCCCCGAAAGCUAUUUAGGUAGCGCCUCGUGAACUCAUCUUCGGGGGUAGAGCACUGUUUCGGCUAGGGGGCCAUCCCGGCUUACCAACCCGAUGCAAACUACGAAUACCGAAGAAUGUUAUCACGGGAGACACACGGCGGGUGCUAACGUCCGUCGUGAAGAGGGAAACAACCCAGACCGCCAGCUAAGGUCCCAAAGUCAUGGUUAAGUGGGAAACGAUGUGGGAAGGCACAGACAGCCAGGAUGUUGGCUUAGAAGCAGCCAUCAUUUAAAGAAAGCGUAAUAGCUCACUGGUCGAGUCGGCCUGCGCGGAAGAUGUAACGGGGCUAAACCAUGCACCGAAGCUGCGGCAGCGACGCUUAUGCGUUGUUGGGUAGGGGAGCGUUCUGUAAGCCGUUGAAGGUGUGCUGUGAGGCAUGCUGGAGGUAUCAGAAGUGCGAAUGCUGACAUAAGUAACGAUAAAGCGGGUGAAAAGCCCGCUCGCCGGAAGACCAAGGGUUCCUGUCCAACGUUAAUCGGGGCAGGGUGAGUCGACCCCUAAGGCGAGGCCGAAAGGCGUAGUCGAUGGGAAACAGGUUAAUAUUCCUGUACUUGGUGUUACUGCGAAGGGGGGACGGAGAAGGCUAUGUCAGCCGGGCGACGGUUGUCCCGGUUUAAGCAUGUAGGCGGAGGUUCCAGGUAAAUCCGGUACCUUAUUAACGCUGAGGUGUGAUGACGAGGCACUACGGUGCUGAAGUGAUAAAUGCCCUGCUUCCAGGAAAAGCCUCUAAGCAUCAGGUAACACGAAAUCGUACCCCAAACCGACACAGGUGGUCAGGUAGAGAAUACCAAGGCGCUUGAGAGAACUCGGGUGAAGGAACUAGGCAAAAUGGUGCCGUAACUUCGGGAGAAGGCACGCUGAUGUGUAGGUGAAGCCCCUGCGGGCGGAGCUGAAAUCAGUCGAAGAUACCAGCUGGCUGCAACUGUUUAUUAAAAACACAGCACUGUGCAAACACGAAAGUGGACGUAUACGGUGUGACGCCUGCCCGGUGCCGGAAGGUUAAUUGAUGGGGUUAGCGGCAACGCGAAGCUCUUGAUCGAAGCCCCGGUAAACGGCGGCCGUAACUAUAACGGUCCUAAGGUAGCGAAAUUCCUUGUCGGGUAAGUUCCGACCUGCACGAAUGGCGUAAUGAUGGCCAGGCUGUCUCCACCCGAGACUCAGUGAAAUUGAACUCGCUGUGAAGAUGCAGUGUACCCGCGGCAAGACGGAAAGACCCCGUGAACCUUUACUAUAGCUUGACACUGAACACUGGUCCUUGAUGUGUAGGAUAGGUGGGAGGCUUUGAAGCGUGGACGCCAGUCUGCGUGGAGCCAACCUUGAAAUACCACCCUUUAAUGGCUGGUGUUCUAACGUAGACCCGUAAUCCGGGUUGCGGACAGUGUCUGGUGGGUAGUUUGACUGGGGCGGUCUCCUCCCAAAGAGUAACGGAGGAGCACGAAGGUUGGCUAAUCCUGGUCGGACAUCAGGAGGUUAGUGCAAUGGCAUAAGCCAGCUUGACUGCGAGCGUGACGGCGCGAGCAGGUGCGAAAGCAGGUCAUAGUGAUCCGGUGGUUCUGAAUGGAAGGGCCAUCGCUCAACGGAUAAAAGGUACUCCGGGGAUAACAGGCUGAUACCGCCCAAGAGUUCAUAUCGACGGCGGUGUUUGGCACCUCGAUGUCGGCUCAUCACAUCCUGGGGCUGAAGUAGGUCCCAAGGGUAUGGCUGUUCGCCAUUUAAAGUGGUACGCGAGCUGGGUUUAGAACGUCGUGAGACAGUUCGGUCCCUAUCUGCCGUGGGCGCUGGAGAAUUGAGGGGGGCUGCUCCUAGUACGAGAGGACCGGAGUGGACGCAUCACUGGUGUUCGGGUUGUCAUGCCAAUGGCACUGCCCGGUAGCUAAAUGCGGAAGAGAUAAGUGCUGAAAGCAUCUAAGCACGAAACUUGCCCCGAGAUGAGUUCUCCCUGAGACUUUAAGUCUCCUGAAGGAACGUUGAAGACGACGACGUUGAUAGGUCGGGUGUGUAAGCGCAGCGAUGCGUUGAGCUAACCGAUACUAAUGAACCGUGAGGCUUAACCUU